UACCAGCACCCCGAGUGGUCGGGACGUUUAUUGGGCCUAAAGCAUCCGUAGCCGGUUCUACAAGUCUUCCGUUAAAUCCAGCUGCUUAACAGAUGGGCUGCGGAAGAUACUAUGGAGCUAGGAGGCGGGAGAGGCAAGCGGUACUCGAUGGGUAGGGGUAAAAUCCGUUGAUCCAUUGAAGACCACCAGUGGCGAAGGCGGCUUGCCAGAACGCGCUCGACGGCGAGGGAUGAAAGCUGGGGGAGCAAACCGG
rnacentral:rRNA from 1 species